rnacentral:misc_RNA from 1 species
GUAUUAAUUGCGUGUUAUCGCAAGAGACAUUCUACACUGUAUCGAGUUUGUGUGAAAACGCAAGCCCCCCCUCUGAACGAGCCAAAAGGGGGACCCACGCGGUGAUGCACAAAAAGGGUGAGAUGGAUUGGUGUGAAAGGGCUCGGGCGUGCACGACCUUUGGAGGUCAGCGACAGCCCUUGCACCUCCGUUGUACGAUAAUGAUCCUUCCGCAGGUUCACCUACGGAAA